GGGGGAGAAAAGAUUGGGUGCUGCCACAUGCUUCAGAAUAAUGAGUUCCACAAUUUGGAGGUGUCCAAAGUUUCUUUUUCUUUUUUCAAUUUACAAUUCGCAUUAUAAAUUGUGUUGCAAAACUGAUAUUUACAAUAUCUUCCCAAAAAUUUUGGCAUUUGCUAAUGCUAUUUGAAUUCUGUAAUCUGUAUUCUGACUUAUUAUGAAGAUCCUAGUGAACUUAAUUGAUUUUUUUUUAAAAAUGUAUGCUUAAUCUGUUACUAGUCCCUUUUAAGUCAUAUGUAUUCGAAUGCUUUACUGUAUUUCACAUUGUUGUCCAAUAGAAUGCUACUAACUUACCAUCA
rnacentral:misc_RNA from 1 species